UAGAGGCCACACAGCAUAUGGUGGAUCUGGUGUUAGAGUUUCGUGUUUCCCAAAGUGCUGAAUGAAUUCUGCCUUUGGCACACAACAUAAUGUUAGAAUCUCAGGUGUAAAGAAUUGCACUUAUAAGCAUAAUCAUGCACUGCAAGCAUGAUAAGUAGCUGGCGUCCAUUUUGAGGUCACACAGCAAGUACAAGAUCUAUCUCCGUCCUCCCCUUUUUUUGAGAAUCAGCUCCACUGGGGCCAAGGAUUGCUACCUGUCUUCUUCACUGCCCUAGCCUAAUCUCCUAGAAUGGUACCUGGCAUGUAGUAAACACUCAAAAAAUAUUUGUUGAGUGAGUGAAUACAAUAAAAGCAUAUAU